GACGAACGCUGGCGGCGUGCUUAACACAUGCAAGUCGAACGGUAAGGCCCUUCGGGGUACACAAGUGGCGAACGGGUGAGUAACACGUGGGUGAUCUGCCCUGCACUCCGGGAUAAGCCUGGGAAACUGGGUCUAAUACCGGAUAGGACCACUGCCUGCAUGGGUGGUGGUGGAAAGCUUUUGCGGUGUGGGAUGGGCCCGCGGCCUAUCAGCUUGUUGGUGGGGUGAUGGCCUACCAAGGCGACGACGGGUAGCCGGCCUGAGAGGGUGACCGGCCACACUGGGACUGAGAUACGGCCCAGACUCCUACGGGAGGCAGCAGUGGGGAAUAUUGCACAAUGGGCGCAAGCCUGAUGCAGCGACGCCGCGUGAGGGAUGACGGCCUUCGGGUUGUAAACCUCUUUCAGCACCGACGAAGCGCAAGUGACGGUAGGUGCAGAAGAAGGGCCGGCCAACUACGUGCCAGCAGCCGCCGUAA
rnacentral:rRNA from 1 species